GGCUCAGCGAUCGGGUCUUCCUUAACUGGUUGCACUCGAGCCGCUUUGCCUUAUCUUCUAGACACACGUCUCAGCAGACGUGCGGCUCUAGGACUUUUACUGUGAAUAAAUUAGAGUGUUCAAAGCAGGCAAUCGCUUGAAUACGUUAGCAUGGAAUAAUAAAAUAGGACUUUGGUUUUAUUUUGUUGGUUUUAAGGACCAAGGUA
rnacentral:rRNA from 1 species